GGUCACCCAGCCACAGAGGUUCCCUCUGCUCUGCCAUUAUCCAGCAUAGGAAAAUGGCCUUGCCUUUUCAGGAUUCCAUAUAACUGGAAUCGUAGGAAAUGCAGCAUGGUUUCACUCACUAAGCAGGAGACGCCGGGAUUCACCCACUGUUGCAGGGAUUGCGACUCCAUUCCCCUCCCUGUGGAGCAGCAUCUUCUGUCGGACACUGGAGACCCAGCAAAAACAGAAGAGCCAAUAUCCCCUGCUCUCCCGUGCUUGUGGAAGCUGGAGAGAACGCGAAUACAUGAGUAAAUAAAAAUGAUCAUUUCAUAAGUGCAUGCUGGGGAAGAUUCCUGCCACACAUACAACAGCAAAGGAUGCUGAGGUGCCUGAAGAUGUAAAGAGCUCUUAGCAAUCAACAAAAAAACAGGAAACGAGAUGCAAACAGGCAACUGAAGAAGUGGAAAUGUAAAUGCCAGGGCCUGAAUGUCAUGGUGCAUAAGAAUGGAACUGCAGGACCCUCGGGAUCACCGCAUGAGGAGCCCCUCGCUCAGGAGGCAGCGAUGCUGUGGAUGUGGCUUACACAGACAUCCAGUGAGCGCCUUGUGUCCUGGGGCUGGGUUAAAUGUCUCCCCUGGCUGUCGCUCUCAGCAGAUAUCACCUAGAGCCUGGCCUCAAAACGCAGGCCAUGUGUGAGCCUUUCCUUGGUCUGUGGCCAAACAUCACCCACUGUCCCCUCAGUGCUACUGCACAGGGCCCAGCCCCACCGUCACCACCCGGCCCAGCUGCUGUGGUCCCUUCCCUCAUGGCCGCCCCCAGCCCACCCCUGCCGUGCUGCCUGUCGGGGUAAACUCUCAGCUUCUGGGAUGUGGCACCUGGGCCUAGCCUCCCAUCACCCCUGGACUCUGCCCACUGCCAGGCCCUGCUGAGAUUACUAACGCACAUUAGUUUCUGUAUCUGGUAAAAUGCACAGAGCUUCGUAUCUACCAUGGCAACCUCCUCCGGUGCACAACUCAGCGGCGUUAAGCACAUGCAUUUGGCUGUGGCUUCCCCGCCGCCCACCUCCAGGACUUUCCAUCUCCCCAGCUGAGCUCUGUCCCGGGAAAUGCUGACCCCCGUCCCCUCCCCAGCCCGGCACCGUCCUCCUUCCUGUCCCUGUGGAUCUGACCACACUGGGCCUCCUGGGGGUGGGGCCCUGCACUGCGUGUCCUCCUGUUGUGUGUGGCUCAGCUCCCUGAGUAGCAUGGCCUCAAGGCCCGUCCCUGCUGCAGUGGGGUCAGAACUUCCUUCCUUUUCCUGGCUGAGUGAUACUCCACCAGAGAACGGACUGUCUCACGUACAGGGACUCAUUCUGCAUUUGGCUGGUGUGAGUGCAGUGUAAGAGUCUGUCUGAGUCCCUGUUUGCAGUUCUUCGGGGUGUGACUUCCUGCUGUGCUCUGGCUGUGCCCCUUCACCCUUUCCGCAGGACUCUUGCACAGCCUGUAGUUGACCCGAAGACAGACCUUCUUGAGUCACCUGGGGGCCUCAGCCUGGCCCAGCCAUCGCUGUCUACUGGAACAGCGCACACACCCUGGCACCACCCCAACUCCGAGUCUGGGGGGUGACCCCCAUUUCUCUGAGUCCCUUUAUGCCCACCCUCGAAUCCUGCCUUGACUGCCGCCAUGGAAACCAGACAUGGCCAGGAAGGACUGUCGUGAGGACCGCUUCAGGGGGUGGCAUGCUAAAAUCAAGUGACACCACCAUCGAUACUGAUGGACACGUUUCUGCCUUGUGUGGGGCUCCAUGUUAAGCACUCCACGUGUGGCUUUUUGUUUUGGAUCUCGCUACGUAGCCCGGCCUGGCCUCAGAUUCACAGGCAUCCUCCUGCCUCAGCCUCCCCCAGGAGCACACCUAAGGGGAAGUCCGUGCAAGUAUGUGAUACGGUCUUGCCUCCCUGGUUGCUCUGCCUGUCACUCAGGCACUUCAAUGUCUCCCUUGGACAGAUGACAGCAAUUAGGCUCAGCCGGCCGGCUGAGGCCACUUCUCCCGGAGGGUUCACAUCCCAACCUCAGGCCCUACAGCCGCAGCUCCUGGCUCUGUGCCCGGCCGCUCAGUGACAUUUUGCUUCAUUCGUUCCCGGGUGUUUGGUUUAUCGUCCAAGCCGAGCGAUUAGCACAGCCUUUAGAUACGACUCAGGGUCUAAUUGCCUGGACUGUGGCAUCGCUGAUGCAUAACUCCCCUCCCAGUCAGCCGCUCCACACAGUUAGGGCCUUGCCCUGUGGUCACUGCACCUCUCCAGUUGGUGGCUGCACCGCUGACUGUCCCGGCUGUGAUACAAGUCCUCACACCAUGUAGACCAUGCUCUCCACAGCUCCAGGACUGGCAGUGUCUGCAUCAGGGAAGUCACUGUCCUGUGGGAAGAUGACCAGCAGGCAUGUAAUCGAGUUGUGUUCCCGGGAGCCACAAAUCCUGUAGGAUAUUAAGUGUGUCUUCUACUGUUACAGGGACAAAGGAAACUGGGGACUGAGGGAUGUGUAGGAGUUUGUGAGAUGGAAGAGCAUUUGAAGCAGAGGAAACAGUAUGUGCAAGGGUUUGACUGUUAGGAGGAGAUGGGCAUUGAUGAUAAAGUCUAGCUGGAGUGUGAAAUUAUUUUGUACUAUUUAUGUACCUUGCACUACGGGGAAUUGAACCCAGAGCCUUCACACUGAGCUACAUCACCAGCUCUUUUAUAUUUUUUAUUUUGACUCAGGGUCUCACUCAGUCACUAAAUUGCCGAGGCAGGAGGAUCUCAGUGAGUUUGAGGCCAGGCUGGGCUACACAGUGAGACUCUGCCUCAAACAAAACAAAACAAAGGAAGAGGAAUGGAGGCCUCGAGGCCAUGAAGACUUCGAUCUGUUGUCAGAUCUGGGGUCUGGGUGGCCUGAUGGGGUCAGUCAGGG
ensembl:lncRNA